UGGGGAAUAUUGCGCAAUGGGGGCAACCCUGACGCAGCCGUGCCGCGUGAAUGAAGAAGGCCUUAGGGUUGUAAAGUUCUUUCGGUAUUGAGGAAGGUUGAUGUGUUAAUAGCACAUCAAAUUGACGUUAAAUACAGAAGAAGCACCGGCUAACUCCGUGCCAGCAGCCGCGGUAAUACGGAGGGUGCGAGCGUUAAUCGGAAUAACUGGGCGUAAAGGGCACGCAGGCGGUUAUUUAAGUGAGGUGUGAAAGCCCUGGGCUUAACCUAGGAAUUGCAUUUCAGACUGGGUAACUAGAGUACUUUAGGGAGGGGUAGAAUUCCACGUGUAGCGGUGAAAUGCGUAGAGAUGUGGAGGAAUACCGAAGGCGAAGGCAGCCCCUUGGGAAUGUACUGACGCUCAUGUGCGAAAGCGUGGGGAGCAAACAGGAUUAGAUACCCUGGUAGUCCACGCUGUAAACGCUGUCGAUUUGGGGGUUGGGGUUUAACUCUGGCGCCCGUAGCUAACGUGAUAAAUCGACCGCCUGGGGAGUACGGCCGCAAGGUUA
rnacentral:rRNA from 1 species